UACGUAGGGUCCGAGCGUUAAUCGGAAUUACUGGGCGUAAAGCGUGCGCAGGCGGUUUUGUAAGCCAGAUGUGAAAGCCCCGGGCUCAACCUGGGAACUGCAUUUGGGACUGCAAGGCUGGAGUACGGCAGAGGGAGGUGGAAUUCCACGUGUAGCAGUGAAAUGCGUAGAUAUUGGGAGGAACACCGGUGGCGAAGGCGGCCCCCUGGACCGGUACUGACGCUGAGGCGCGAAGGCGUGGGGAGCAAACGGG
rnacentral:rRNA from 1 species